rnacentral:rRNA from 1 species
GAUAAACGCUGGCGGCGUGCCUAACACAUGCAAGUCGAACGAUCCCGCAAGGGAGAGUGGCGGAAGGGUGAGUAACACGUGGGAAUCUACCUCCUCGCAGGGAACAACCUCUCGAAAGAGAGGCUAAUACCCAAAAGGGUCAGAAAUGAUCAGAGUCGAAAGGCGUGAGGAGAGGAGCCCGCGGCCCAUCAGCUAGUUGGUGAGGUAAUGGCUUACCAAGGCUACGACGGGUAGGGGAUCUGAGAGGAUGUCCCCCACACUGGAACUGAAACACGGUCCAGACGCCUACGGGUGGCAGCAGUGAGGAAUAUUGGACAAUGGGCGAAAGCCUGACGCAGCAACGCCGCGUGAAGGAUGAAAUCCUUCGGGAUGUAAACUUCGAAAGAAUAGGAAGAAUAAAUGACGGUACUAUUUAUAAGGUCCGGCUAACUACGUG